rnacentral:rRNA from 1 species
UGGGGGAUAUUGCACAAUGGGCGAAAGCCUGAUGCAGCGACGCCGCGUGGGGGAUGAAGGCUUUCGGGUUGUAAACCUCUUUCGCUAUCGAACAAGGCCCGCUUAGGGUGGGUUGAGGGUAGGUGGAGAAGAAGCGCCGGCUAACUACGUGCCAGCAGCCGCGGUAAUACGUAGGGCGCGAGCGUUGUCCGGAAUUAUUGGGCGUAAAGGGCUUGUAGGCGGCUUGUUGCGCCUGCUGUGAAAACGCGGGGCUUAACUUCGCGUGUGCAGUGGGUACGGGCAGGCUUGAGUGUGGUAGGGGUGACUGGAAUUCCAGGUGUAGCGGUGGAAUGCGCAGAUAUCUGGAGGAACACCGAUGGCGAAGGCAGGUCACUGGGCCAUUACUGACGCUGAGGAGCGAAAGCAUGGGUAGCGAACAGG